GGGAGAAAAGGUCGUUGCCCUCAAAUCCUGGUUGGCCCCCAUGGAAAGCAGGAGGGUGUUGAGCAAGGUGGGUUUUUGUUCUGCUCCGGAUAAAGGGCUGUUCCUGUGAGGAGGGGGUUGCGGCAUUUGGGGGCUAAGAGGUGGCAUGGCAGGAGUUUAUGCAAUUAUGCAUGGCAUGGAGGAAUAAAUGCUUCCCUCCCUCUCCAGUGACACCAGGAUUUGUGGACAUCUGAUGACGCUGAAUGCUGGAAGCUUCAGGGUAGAUAAAUGAAAGAGUUACGGUGCAGAACUCCCUUCCGCAACCAACAAGCUAGAUGGCUUUAGAAGAGAAUGGGACGGAUUCAUGGAGGAGGCGGCAGAAUUCCUUUUGAAUCUCAGCUGCUGAAAACCAGAGGAAAUGGGCCCUGGCCUGAUCCAGCUGCAAGUUUGUCUUAUGUUCUUAUGCUCUUAUGUUCUUACAGGAUGGCAACGCAUGGGUCCUGAUACACGUAUGGACUCUGGUUUCAUAAUUCUAGCCACAUGGUGGACUGCUGGCGUCUCUCUCCAAGGAAGCCUUCACUCUGCAGAAAUGAGCCUAUGGAUACUUUAGCAGCUUAAGACAAAAAUCACUCAAUUGUAGAGUUAGAAGGGACCUCAGGGGUCAUCUAGUCCAACCCCCUGCAAUGCAGGAAUCUUUUGCCUGAUGUGGGGCUCAAACCCAUGACCCUGAGAUUAAGAGUCAAGAGCCAGUGUGGUGUAGUGUUUAAGAGCGGUAGACUCCUAAUCUGGCCAGUCACACUUCUCUGAAGUCUCUCAGCCCCACUCACCUCACAGGGUGUUUGUUGUGGGGGAGGAAGGGAAAGGAGAAUGUUAGCCGCUUUGAGAAUCCCUAGGGUAGUGAUAAAGCAGGAUAUCAAAUCUAAAACUCCAGCAACUGAGCUUUUCUGCCUGCACUGAGGUUCUUCCUCUUUUCCAAGUUUCAAGUCGCAUUUUCACAGUGCUGUACAACUGAGUGACUCACUGCCUGUCCGCCCCAGGCGGUGAAAGGGGAGCAGGGAUAUCGUCACCUGACGUGCAUUACCUGUCUGCUUCCCCACACACCUGCAAUCCACCCCCCACCUGGAACUCCUGUUUGCAAAGCCGCCCUCUGCAUAUGUUCAAUGGCUGGC